rnacentral:lncRNA from 10 species
UGCAAGGAAAAAUACCUUCUGUCCUUUGGAUUGCUGGUUAAAUACGGGUAAUUUUCAUUCCUAUUUAAAUCAACUUGAAAAAACAAAAGGAGGCCACGUAGGCAAAAGUUCGUUUUGAGGAAGGAAGUUCUCCUAAAAGCUAGGGUGGAAAAAAGAAGAGAGAGUGAGAACAAGUAAACUCCCCACAGCUCUAUCCUUGGAAGAGGAGAUUAGAACACAGAC